rnacentral:rRNA from 1 species
CCAAUAGUGUAUAUUAGUGUUGUUGCGGUUAAAAAGCUCGUAGUUGAAUUUCGGGAUUGGGAUAUAUCGGUCGUGCCUUUAGGGGCAUGAAUCGGUGUGUGGCCAAUUCUCUCACCUUCUGGUGAAUUGGGAUGCUCUUGGGUGUUUCAAUGAACUAGGACUUUUACUUUGAAAAAAUUAGAGUGUUUAAAGCAGGCAUUUUUGCUUGAAUACGUUAGCAUGGAAUAAUAAAAUAGGACGAUGGUUCUAUUUUGUUGGUUUUAGGACCACGUAAUGAUUAAUAGGGAUAGUUGGGGGCAUUAGUAUUCAAUUGUCAGAGGUGAAAUUCUUGGAUUUAUUGAGGACUAACUACUGCGAAAGCAUUUGCCAAGGAUGUUUUCAUUAAUCAAGAACGAAAGUUAGGGGAUCAAAGACGAUUUAUGUACGUCGUAGUCUUAACCAUAAACUAUGCCGACUAGGAAUCAGACAAAGUUAAUUUUUUAACGACUUGUUUGGUACCUUACG